CAGACCCUAGAAACCUGCCCUUCUCUGGCAGGGUUAGGGCUGAGAGUGGGCCCUCAGACCAUUUGGAAUGACCAGUGAUUUCAGCUCUCACUCCCUUCUCAUCAGCACAUGUCUACAGUUGCAAAAAAUUAUGCAGAAGAGCAGAUCAGAUUGAUACAGUUUGAUAAGGAUUCAGCCCACCACUGCCGACUUUGAAGAUGAAGGAGAGGGACCAUGAGCCACAGAAAACCAGCAGCCUCUAGGAACUGGAAAAAGCAAGGAAAUGGAUUCUCCCCUAGAGCUUCAUCCUCCCUCCUAGCACAAGGUCUUAGCACUGUUUCAUCUUCCCAGAAGGAUUUUCCCUCUUCCACCCUGCUUCUAGUCCCAAUAUCAUCACCAGAUAAGAAUAUGUAUGGAUUCACGAACAAGAAAAUUGCUUAACUAUUUGAUCAAGAAAGAUUGGAAAAUCAGGAUGAAGCAAGUCUGGGUGAAAGAGCUGUGAAUGGAUUUAUGGGAACAGGAAGGAGGUGUGGAGAUCCUUUUAUUACAUGUUAAUGAUCACUAGGGAACAUCCACUACAAAAGAACAUCCCACUAAAUCACCAAUAGACACAAGAGAAUAUGUGGCCCGUUGACUUUGGCCAGCCUCUGUCAUUAGAUGUCAAUGUUCAAACAACGGUGCAUGAAUGGCAUAGCCCUGGUAGCAGGAGUGGGGGCUAUGCAUGGAUCCAGCAAUAUGCACUCCCACUCCACAACGUUGACCCAGCCACCAAGGCUGAAAUAUUCAACCUUUCAGCAACAGAAACCAAGGAUGACCUUCAUCCCUGCCCAGCUAUGGUAUUAGCCCUUGAGAUCAACCAGCCACAUGGUGGAAAUUUGAAUAUCUUCUACCCUGGAAAGGUCAUUGAUUCAUUUUGGUAUUAAUUAAUUCGUGGUUCUGGGUUGGAUUUACUGUUCUUGCCUGCAGGGCCUCAGCUGGCACCAGCAUCUAAAGGCUUAGAGAGUUAGUGAUCCACCAACAUGGCAUCUCACAUAACAUCCCAUCAAACCAAGUGACCCACUUUACAAGAAAGGAGGUGCGUAAGUGGACAAGCUCCAGCUUGCCCCAGCUGGAACAAGCUCUACUAGUCCCAUCACAUCAUGCACCAUCCAGAAGCUGCCACACUAACAGAGUGAUGGAAAGCCCUGUUGAAGGCAUAGUGGAGGGGCCACACCAUUGCAAGGUAAUGUCAUUGGAGGUUUAUUUAGCAUGUGUAUUACACCCAGGAAAAUGGUGCCCCAUCCUUGCAAGGUAAUGUCAUCAUCAGAUUCUCCUGGGUGUAAUAUACAUGCUAAAUAAACAAUCAUUAUAUGAUGCUGUGUCCCCAAGAGGUAAAAUAUGUGGGAGUUAAGGAGUGGACGCAGCAAUAGCCUCACUUACCAUCAAUACAGUUGACUCCUUAGGGAACUUGUGCCUAGGCUCUGUGGGUUUAGAGGUCCUGGUGCCCAAAGGAGAUGUGCUUCCAUCAGGGAAUACAACAAGCAUUCAAUUGAACAUGAGGUUAAGGCUGCCACUUGGAAGCAUCAGGCUCCUCAUGCCAAGAGAUUACCAAGCAAGAAGAGGAAUCACCAUACCAUAGGCAUUAAUCAAUCCCAUUCUUGAGAAGGAGCUGGGACUGCUGACACAAGGCCACAGAGAGGCCCCCAGCUAACUUGCCUGGGUGUCCCUUAGAAUUCCCUUGCCCAUUUUUUAAUAAUAGAUGGAUAAAUGCAACAGCCUCCACCUAACAAAGGCAUAGUGAUGGGUCUUCUCAGGAGUGAGAAGCUAGCUAGGUCAUUCCAGCAGCCAAGUAGACCAGCAGAGGUACCAAAAAGAGACAGGAAAUUUAGACUGUAAACAAAACAGGAAGAUUUCCCCAGGAAAAGAGGCCAACUGUGAUCCUAGAGAUGCUUCUCCUUAACAUGCAGAAAGAAGUGGAUCCAUGAAGCACAAGAGCUGAGCUGUCAUGGAAACUGCACAUCUCAAAUUUCCCAUCAGGAAUGAAGGACCUAGUCCCCAUAGGCUGAAGACAGUCACCUCACCCAACUUCAUGCUCUCUUCCAGGGAGAGCCUGCAUCCAAUAACUUGUCAGCCCAAGACUAUAAAGGCCUUACCCUUUGCCUCUGUGAAGCAUCCCACAAAGAGGUGCAUCUACCUCUGAAGGUGCAUCCCAGCUUCAGGCUCCCAGUCACUUUGGGCUUACCUAGCCUCUUCCUCUGCCCUACUUUUCUCCCUCCCCUUCCUUCCUGCAGGUUUGGAUCCUGAGAGCACUCCCUAAUAAACCUCAUGCCCAC